GGUAGGGGAGCGUUCUGUAAGCCUGCGAAGGUGGCCUGUGAGGGUUGCUGGAGGUAUCAGAAGUGCGAAUGCUGACAUAAGUAACGAUAAAGCGGGUGAAAAGCCCGCUCGCCGGAAGACCAAGGGUUCCUGUCCAACGUUAAUCGGGGCAGGGUGAGUCGACCCCUAAGGCGAGGCCGAAAGGCGUAGUCGAUGGGAAACGGGUUAAUAUUCCCGUACUUGGUGUUACUGCGAAGGGGGGACGGAGAAGGCUAUGUUGGCCGGGCGACGGUUGUCCCGGUUUAAGCGUGUAGGUGUGUGUUCCAGGUAAAUCCGGUUCACUUUAACACUGAGGCGUGACGACGAGGCACUACGGUGCUGAAGCAACAAAUGCCCUGCUUCCAGGAAAAGCCUCUAAGCAUCAGGUAACAUCAAAUCGUACCCCAAACCGACACAGGUGGUCAGGUAGAGAAUACCAAGGCGCUUGAGAGAACUCGGGUGAAGGAACUAGGCAAAAUGGUGCCGUAACU
rnacentral:rRNA from 1 species